GCAGUCGUGGCCGAGUGGUUAAGGCGAUGGACUUGAAAUCCAUUGGGGUCUCCCCGCGCAGGUUCGAAUCCUGUCGGCUGCG
rnacentral:tRNA from 1 species